AACAUGUGAACUUUUGAGUCAGGGAGGGGUAAAAUGGUCUUUUACCCUUCUGUGGAAUUUUAGAAAGGAAUAUAGUAUAGCCUUGAGAGCCGUUAAUGAUUUGGAAUAAUUACUUGAUGUGAUUAGGCGAGGCUAGGUCGUUGUUGUGAGAUUUAGAGAUAUCGAGCACAUGAGACACUAGACAUCAUACGAAGUGAGUCUUCUCACUAUACUGUACCUGGGAGGGUACCUAUGUGUGACUGGAAGUUCUGGUAUGCUAUAAGAUAUAUGCAUUGUAUGUUGCCUGUUUUGUAUGUGUUAUGUAUGCUAUGCUUGUUAUGGGCCGGAAGGCAUUAUGAUGUAGACCGGAAGGUCAGGGAGUUAUGGACCGAAAGGUCGACACGGGUAGAACCGGAAGGUUUACCGUGUUGGGACGGAAGUCCCCUGAGACACAUGGACCGGAAGGUCAUGGCCUAGAAGGGUGUAUGUGUGUAGGUGGUAUUUUGGGGAACUCCCUAAGCAUUUAUGCUUACAUUUGUUGUGUUACGUGUGUCAGGUACUAGCGAGGACCAUGGGAAGGCGCCGGCAUGACUCGUACACACACACCCACAGGCGGAUUUCGAUAUAGUUGAUCUUAGGAUAUAACAUGUUUUGUAUUAUGACUAUGUUACAUUGGAUUUUUAUGGUUUGUUUUGAAUGAAAUUAUGUUUUAAAGAAAAGAAAAUUUGUUUUGAAAAUUCACGUUGUUACAAGUUGGUAUCAGAGCCUUGGUUUGAGGGACUCGAAAGCACCUUUGGGCGUAUCUGAACUCAAGCUGAGGAUUUUAGAAAUAUUCAACAAUAAAAAACUAAUUUUCUAAAAGAGCAAGGAGUUUUGAAACAAAUAGAGCAGAGCAGUGUGUACGGUCAGCUAGCGCCCGAACGGUGAAUCCCCAAAAUACCCUUACAUUAUGUGUUAUGAGAUAUGAUAUGUUAUGUUAUGCAUGCUAGAGUAGGCUAGGGAUUCAUAUUAGGACUAGAGUGGUCCGAUUUGUGAUGCCUUAGCCUAGGAGAAUUCUGCUGCUAUGAGAUGCCUUGAGAGAGAAUACGUAGCCAAUGCAUAGUGAGAAUAGAGUAGUUGCAAUCCGGGAUCCAAGGAGGAGGACUUUGGGUGAAUGCUGAUACGGUGUGGUCAGUAGUAUAGGGCCCGUACUACUGAAGUCACCGGAUCAGUGAGCAGCCCAAGUAAGAAUCCUUUGGGUAUUGGAGGACGAGCAGGGUUGUGUUAUCGAGUGCGAGUAUGCUCGAUCGAGUCUCUGAUAUUUUUAUGUUGUAUUUCAGAGGCAUCAUGGUUGGGACACGACACACACCUGAGAGCAGUGGGGUCAGUGACGAGGAGAUCCUUCGAUUGAUUCAUGAGGAGGUGGUUGCUGCCAUCUGGGCUGGGAUUCCAGAGAUGUUUGGAGACAUCAAGACCACACUGAUUGAGACCUUUGACGAGAGAUAUGCAACGGUGACUGAGGCUACAAAUGCUGCAGCUACUACAGCUAUUGCUGCUGCCAGACCUCAGGGAGGUGACUCGUUGUUGUUUCGGGUGUUCAACAACACGAAGCCACCAGAGUUCGAUGGGACGCAGGACCCGAUUACUGCGAUGAGAUGGAUCUCUGACAUUGAGGGAUGUUUCUAUACAUGUUCUUGUCCAGAACACUUGAGGGUGUGGUUCGCUUUGAACCAGCUUCGCUUGGGAGAGAAGGAUUGGUGGAAGUUCGUGACGGCGAACUUCACUCUGGCAGAGAUUUCUGAGAUGACCUGGGAGAGGUUCACCGCCAUGUUCAGGGACGAGUAUGUUCCCUCGGUGGAGAGGGAAUGGUUGGUUCAGGAGUUCUUAACCCUCAAGCAGCGUAAUGAUUCGGUUACUGUGGUUACCCGGAAGUUUCAUGAGAGGGCGAUGUUUUGCCCUGAGCAGGUGUCUACUGAGUAGGCACGGAUGAGCCGGUAUUUGGGCAUUUUGAGGAGGGACAUUAGAGAGUUCGUGUCGAACUCAACGUACCGUACAUUUGCUAAGCUUCAGGCAAAUGCCCGGAAGCGGGAGAUCGAGUUGGAGACUCAGGCCAGGGAGGAGGCCGAGUCUUAGAGGAUGGAUCGGCAGACGACUCAGUCUCAGCCGGCAUCCAAGCGGGCCAAGCCCGCUGAUUCGAGGACUGGAGGCCAGAAGGGCCGCACUUGCAGGAAGUGCGGCAAGGGUCAUGAGGGGGCUUGUCGAUCGGGUGCUUGCUACAAAUAUGGCAAGGAGGGGCAUAUCACCAAGGAUUGCCCCCAAGGGAUUUAUGGUUUGCUUCCAUUGCAACCAGACUGGCCAUCGGAAGGCCGAGUGUCCACAGUUGCAUCAGGGGUCAGCGCAGGGAUCUGCACCUGCUGCUAGGGUUACCGAGGCUCGAUCGGUGAAGGUCGAGGCUCUGAAGGCUCGUGGGAGAGCUUUCCAGUUCACAGCGGAGGAGGUCCGCGCAGCACCCGACGUUGUGGCCGGUAUGUAUUCCUUUCUCUAAUUAUUUAAUUCUGAGAUGUUAUGCUUAUAUUAUGUUAUGCGUAGGUACUUUUCUUGUGAAUUAUGUGCCUGCCUUAGUGUUAUUUGACUCGGGAGCGAGUCGAUCUUUUGUGUUGUAAGCCUUCAGUCGUCAUAUCAGUAUUUAUUGAGAGGCCAUGAGUCGACCUCUGCGAGUUUCUAUAGCUAACGAGCGAGCAGUGUACGCCACGGAAGUGAUUCGAGGAUGUAUCCUUGAGAUCUUCGGUGUGGAGUUCCCGAUAGAUCUGGUCCCGAUUGCGAUGGGGGACGUGUGUGUUAUAGUGGGUAUGGAUUGGUUGAGCCUAUUUGGAGCUGUUAUAGACUGCGAGCAUCAGUUGGUGACGAUACGAGACCCUAGUGGGGGAGUACUUACGGUGUACGGUGAGGGUACCCAUCCUGAGUCAGCAUUUUCUUGGCUGCUAGGGCGAGACAGAGUUUACAGCAGGGCUACAGAGGGUUUGUGGCCUAUGUGAUGGAGACACGAGUGGCCGCAGGGGGGCCAUGUUCGAUCAAUGAGGUCCCAAUUGUGUGGGAGUUCCCUGAUGUUUUCCCCGAGGAGUUGUCGGGUGUGCCUCCCAAGAUGCAGGUGGAGUUUCGUAUCGACUUGGUUCCAGGGGCGACACCUAUUGCCAAGGCACCUUAUCGCCUUGCGUCGUCCGAGAUGCAGGAGUUAUUCAAACAGCUUCAGGAGCUGUUGGGUAAGGGGUUUAUAAAACCGAGUAGCUCACCUUAGGGAUCACCGAUCCUGUUUUUCAAGAAGAAGGAUGGUUCACACCGGAUGUGUAUUGAUUACUGGGAUUUGAACAAGCUGACGGUCAGGAACCUUUAUCCGUUACCGAGGAUCGACGAUUUAUUCGAUCAGUUGCAGGGAGCGUCUUGGUUCUCCAAGAUAGAAUUGAGGUCGGGUUAUCAUCAGAUGAGGGUUCGGGAUGAAGAUAUCCAGAAGACAGCGUUCAGAACUUGUUAUGGGCAUUACGAGUUCGUGGUGAUGCUUUUUGGGCUCACCAAUGCACCAGCCGUGUUCAUGGAUCUCAUGAACAGGGUGUGCAGACCGAUGUUGGAUCGAUCGGUGAUUGUAUUCAUCGGUGAUAUUUUGGUAUAUUCGAAAUCCAAAGAGCAGCAUGAGGAGCAUUUGAGGGAAUCCUUGGAGUUCUGAGAUCGGAGAGGCUUUACGCCAAAUUCUCCAAGUGUGAUUUUUGGUUACGGGAGGUCCAAUUCCUAGGACAUCUCGUUAACCAGUAGGGGAUAUUGGUCGAUCCAGCCAAGAUUGAGGUUGUGAUGAGUUGGGAGGUGUCAAGGUCACCUACUGAGAUCAGGAUUUUCUUAGGGUUGGCAGGCUAUUUAUUGGAGAUUUAUCAGGGAUUUCUCCAAGAUCGUCGUGCCACUCACCAAGUUGACCCAUAAGGGUGUUGCAUUUUCUUGGGGUCCGGAGCAGCAGACCUCGUUUGAGACACUUCGCCAGAGAUUAUGCGAAGCCCCGGUGUUAGCCCUUCCGGAAGGGAUGAAGGAUUUCGUGGUAUAUUGUGAUGCAUCGAUAUCCAGGUUGGGAGCGGUGCUUAUGCAGAGGGGGCAUGUGAUAGCAUAUGCAUCCAGGCAGCUAAAGUAUCAUGAGUCGAGGUAUCCCACUCAUGAUCUGGAAUUGGGGGCUGUAAUGUUCGCCCUCAAUAUCUGGUGUCACUAUUUGUAUGGGGUUCGGUGUACGAUAUACACAGACCACAAGAGCUUGAAGUAUUUGAUUGAUCAGCCCAACCUGAAUAUGCGCCAGAGGAGAUGGUUGGAUGUAGUAAAGGAUUAUGAUUGUGAGAUCCUGUACCACCCGAGCAAGGCUAAUGUUGUAGCCGAUGCCCUGAUCCGUAUGGCAGAGGGCGCCCCAAUUCAAGAUAUUUGCAUGAGAUUGACAGUGAUGACUCCGGUAUGGGACGCCAUUCGAGGGGCCCAAGCAGAGGUCGUGAGACCGGAGAACCGCAAUAGAGAGCGAGUGAUCGGGCAGGUAUCGGAGUUUGUUACCGAUAGUCGAGGACUUAUGACUUUCCAGGGUCGGGUUUGGGUACCGUUUGUGGGCGGGACGUGUAUCGUCGUGAUGGAGGAGGCGCAUAGAUCGAAGUUCUCGAUCCACCCCGGGGCCACUAAGAUGUAUUUGGACCUGAAGAAGGAGUAUUGGUGGCCCUUUAUGAAAAGGGAUGUUGCAUGGUUAGUAGAGAGGUGCUUGACCUGUCGCAAGGUUAAGGCUGAGCACCAGCGCCCGCAUGGUAAGUUACAGCCGUUAGAGAUUCCCGAGUGGAAGUGGGAAUAGAUUUCCAUGGAUUUUAUCACCAAAUUGUCGAGGAAUGCUAGGGGUGUCGAUGCAAUUUGGGUGAUUGUGGACAGGUUGACGAAGAGCUCUCAUUUCCUUGCCAUCAGUGAGAGCUCUUCUGCUGAGAGGCUGGCAGACUUGUACGUGAGGGAGGUGGUAUCGCGGCAUGGAGUUCCGAUCUCGAUUGUUUCAGACCGAGAUGUGAGUUUUACUUCCAGAUUUUGGAAGAAGUUUCACAAGGAGUUGGGUACGAGGCUACAUUUCAGUACCGCCUACCACCCACAGAUGGACGGACAGAGUGAGCAGACGAUUCAGACGCUCGAGGACAUGCUUCGGGCAUGUGUAUUGGAUUUCGAAGGAAGUUGGGACACGUAUUUGCCCUUGGCUGAGUUUUCCUAUAACAACAGCCAUCACUCGAGCAUUGGUAUGCCACCUUUUGAGCUAUUGUAUGGAAGGAGGUGCCAUACCCCCAUUUGUUGGGGAAGGUAGGGCAGCGUGCGAUGGGUAGUACAGAGAUAGUGCUUCAGACGACAGAGCAGAUACGGCAGGUCAGGCAGAGGUUAUUGACCGCUCAGAGUCGCCAGAAGAGUUACGCUGAUAAACGACGAUCCGAACUCGAGUUCCAAGUCAGUGAUUUCGUGCUCCUGAAGGUAUCUCCUUGGAAAGGAGUGAUCCGAUUCAGGAAGAGGGGCAAGCUGGGACAUCGGUAUAUUGGGUCGUUUAGAGUGAUCGCGAGGGUGGGCAAGGUAGUGUAUUGCUUGGAGCUACAUGCGGAGUUGGACCAGAUUCAUGAUACCUUCCACGUAUCUCAGUUGAGGAAGUGUAUAGCCGACGAGUCGGUAGUAGUGCCGCUGGAGGAUAUUCAGGAGGAUGCGGGCCUGAAUUAUGCUGAGAAACCAAUUGCAAUUCGGGAUCGGAAGAUCAAGGUUCUGAGGAACAAGGAGAUACCGUUGGUGUAGGUUCAGUGGUAGCAUUGGAGAGGGUCCGAGCUAACCUGGGAGCCAGAGUCAGAGAUGCGGGAGCAGCAUCCGGAGAUGUUCACAGCAUGAGACUUCGAGGGCGAAGUCUGGUUCUAGUGGGGGAGAAUUGUAAUAGCCUGAAAUCCAGGAUAGCUUUAUGACCCUUCUAUUUUGGGGAGUUGGCAAAUUAGUCCCUUAAAGUUGAAAGGUGGAUUGGUGAGUACGCUGGGUGUACUGGGGUGUAUGUCGCGCGUACUCGCGCGCUUAAUUUGUACGCGGGUCAUCCGGGUACGCUGGGGCAUACCCAAGGUUACGCCGGGCGUAACCGGCCCAGAUGCAAAACCCUAAUUCCUGGCUUUUGCACUAUAAAAGGAUCAUGUAGUCCUUUGCCCUAGACAUCAUAUCCCCUUGAGUGAGUCCUUAGAGAGCUGAGAUCCGUGCUUUAGCUUGUGUGUGUGUUUUGAGCUUGAAGUUAUCCUUUCAAGGUGAAGAAGGAGAAGAAGGAGCCAUUGUUGGAGCUAAAAGUUGAAGAACAAGUGUAGAUCCGAGUUCUACAGUAGUUGGAGAUCCCUUCUAAGGUAAAAAGCUCAAAGCUUUCCUUGUUCUUCAUAAGUUUUGCUUUUUGGGCCAUUUCUAGGGUUUUUGGUUCAAAGUUGGAGACUUUGUGUGCAAGGAGUCUCCAUGAUCUUAGAUCUGACCUUUUCUAGUAUAUAUUGUGUUGAGGAUUCAUAAAAAUCCAGUCUUGGACGUGGAUCUUGUGUCAUGCAUGAGUUAUAGUCUCAUUAUGGAAAGAGGAAAGGUGUUUUGAGCACAAAGUGACCUUUAUAGCCAUGCAAAGGCUUAAAGGUUUCAACUUUAUGGAUUAAGUCAUAUUAGAGGAGUCAGAUCUGAAGUUUGGAUGCAAGUCUUAACCGAUUAAGACCUGAAUGUGUUGGAUAAAGAAACUGGGCAUUACGUUGGGUGUAAUCCCAAUACGUGCCACGUAGGGGGUCACGUUCCCCGUUUCUGGAGUGCAAGGUUACGCCCCGCGUACAGGAGCUGGUACCCCCCGCGUACUGCUUGUUGUUGACUUUUGUUGACUUUUAGGGUUUUAGUCAAUAUGUGAACUUUUGAGUCGGGGAGGGGUAAAAUGGUCUUUUACCCUUCUGUGGAAUUUUAGAAAGGAAUAUAUUAUAGCCUUGAGAUCCGUUAAUGAUUUGGAAUAAUUACUUGAUGUGAUUAGGCGAGGCUAGGUCGUUGUUGCGAGAUUCAGAGAUAUAGAGCACGUGAAACACUAGACAUCAUACGAAGUGAGUCUUCU
rnacentral:lncRNA from 1 species